GACGAACGCUGGCGGCGUGCUUAACACAUGCAAGUCGAACGGAAAGGCCCUGCUUUUGUGGGGUGCUCGAGUGGCGAACGGGUGAGUAACACGUGAGUAACCUGCCCUUGACUUUGGGAUAACUUCAGGAAACUGGGGCUAAUACCGGAUAGGAGCUCCUGCUGCAUGGUGGGGGUUGGAAAGUUUCGGCGGUUGGGGAUGGACUCGCGGCUUAUCAGCUUGUUGGUGGGGUAGUGGCUUACCAAGGCUUUGACGGGUAGCCGGCCUGAGAGGGUGACCGGCCACAUUGGGACUGAGAUACGGACCAGACUCCUACGGGAGGCAGCAGUGGGGAAUAUUGCAGAAUGGGCGGAAGCCUGAUGCAGCAACGCCGCGUGCGGGAUGACGGCCUUCGGGUUGUAAACAGCUUUCGCCUGUGACGAAGCGUGAGUGACGGUAAUGGGUAAAGAAGCACCGGCUAACUACGUG
rnacentral:rRNA from 1 species